UCACCAUUCUGACAACAAGCCUCAGCUGCUUCCUUUAUAAUGACUACGACGUUGUUCUGGGUGAGCAGAAGCCCUCGCCCCCACCCUAAUCAAAGAACGGUUACAGAGAUGAUAAGGAUAAUGAACGCUUGGUUGAGCUCACUGUUCGUCAAGUCUCCCUAGAGUGGCCUGUGGGGGCCAGAGUGGGGACAUAAUAAAUCACGGUGUUCAUGUCUGAUAAACAUCGUAUACCCCAGACCUCCGGUGACUCUAACCUGCAACCGUUGGUGCUGGGCGUGGCCCCAGGAAGCAGGAAAUUAAGUGAGGGUUUGGAAGUGGAUCACAUGCCACCAGGCUGGCCACGAUGACCGCAUCACUGGUGCACCACUAUCUGAGGACUUACAGAGUGUUUGACCCACCAGCACCAGAUCCCACGUUGUGUCAGACAGGGGAACUGACUUCACCGGAAAGGAGGUGUGGAAAUGGGCAAUGACCAUGGGAUCCACUCACCAUGUCGCCCAGAAGCUGCCAGCCUGAUGGGGCUGGAACAGGCUGCCGAAGACAGAGCUGAAGUGCCAGCUAGAGAUAGUAUUCUGUGAGGACGCAGCCUCCAGAGCACAACAUGUGCAUUGAACCCAAGUCUUUGGGGAGCUUGGUAUUCCCAACAGGAAGAGUAAAUAAGUCCAGAUAGCCUCAUCUACCCUUUUCGGAGGGACUUUGUGUUUCCUGUCCCCACAUUGCUGGGCUUUGCAGGGCUGGAGGAUCUCAGCCCCAAAGAGGACUCACUUUGUCAGGGGACCCAGCAAGAGUGCGUUGAAUCAUAAGCUACAGCUAUUGCCCAAACACUUUGGGGUUCUGUCUGGGCACUGGCAGGCGAGAAGGGAAGUCACCAUUUGGGCAGGAGUAAUUGACCCUGGUCAUCAGGAGCUGGUAAGGCUAUUAUUGCACAACGGGGCAGGGAGAAAAAUGUGCCCAAUCGUGACUGUAAAUGGACAAGUACAGGAGCCUGGCCAGAGAAGGAAAUGGUGACCAGAGCUGAGGUCCCUCAUUGAUGGGGGCCAAGGUCGAGCCCCCAGGUAAGACUCCAAAGCCAGAAGAUGUGGUAGCCAAGAGUUUGAGGGAUCUAGACUGGACAGCAUAGGCGAAAAAUGAUAUAGAUCAAUUGUUGCCCAAACCCAAUUGUAGAGAUGGAGGCAGACUCUGUUCCUCACAAAGUGUACCUCAAGAGGAGAGGCCAGUGGAAUACAGGGGAAGUUGCUUUCUUGAUGCCCGUGAAGAAUGGCUCCAAGCAGCACAAGGAGAUGAGGGACGUGGAGAUACACAGCCCAGGAUCUCCCUUCAAGGAAGAACUGAGGUGCAGCCCAGCUGCAGGAAGAGGGGUACAUGGAUGGCCUGUAGCUGUCCUUUUCUUCAGAGCUGUCACAGCUGCAGAGAGCCACGUCACCGGAGUGUACGCCUUUCUCUGGUGCCCAGUAAGGCGGAAGUAUAGAGACCCAGCCCUUCCAACCCAGUGCAGGACACUGAUGGGCAAUACACACUUCAGGGCUCCCCAUCAGGCUGAAAGCUUUGUGACACUAUAUCACAGUUCAACCUCUGCCCAAUCUUGCUUCCCCCCUCCCACCCGAUCCUUUUAUAAGUAUGGACCCCUAAUAAACAUUCCCCCAAUUUC